rnacentral:piRNA from 1 species
UCAACUUCAGAUACGUAGUGA